CGGCAUUUCUCGCGAGCUCGCGAGCAGCAGACGGCUCGAGCUCCCCUGCUCUCCCUCUCUCUCUGUCUGUGUGUGCGCGUGAUAUCGGUUACGACACCACAGUGUAAACAGCCAUGGCUGCACUGCGCAGGCUUAUCCUUUCAUUCAGCUCCAAAGCAGAGACGUUCACGGCGCGGAAACCGCCUCAAACACCCUCAAAGGCGACUAAAGCGCAGAAACUUAUCGCAGCGGGAGCGAGCAUCACAGCCGGCGCCGCCGCCGCUUAUUAUUACUAUUACUAUUAUUACUCCUGCCGCUCGCACGUCGGUAGGCGCCCCGGACUGAAGAGCCACGUCGAGGCUCGGCUCAUGCAUCUGGCGCUGCCAUCAGUUUCCGCCACCGAUAAGACAAGGACCUACAGUCUGGACGAUGGAGAUGCCUACAUGUCCUCCUAUGAAAACAGAUUUCGUCUGUUCAGUUCGGUGGAGUAUGAAGGACAGCUCUACAUGACUCCGCUGAACUUCAUCGAGUCGGUCACUCUGAGCGAACCAAAGAGCAGGAGAGUCUGCAAGUCCCUCACGAAAAAGGAAUUAGACAAGAUGCUGGCUGAUACCCCACCUGUUUGGAAAGGAUCAUCUAAUUUGUUUAGAAAUCUCCGUGAACGAGGUGUCAUCAGUUAUACAGAGUACCUCUUCCUGCUGUGCAUUUUAACAAAGCCCCAUGCAGGCUUCAGGAUUGCUUUCAACAUGUUUGAUGCAGAUGGGAAUGAAAUGGUGGACAAAAGGGAGUUCUUGGUGCUGGAAGAGAUUUUCCGUAAGAAGAAGGACAGAAAAGACAUUACUGAAGAUAUGCAAAGACAGGACCAGCAAAGCCUGCAGCUUUAUGGAAAUCACAGAUCUCAGGCUCACACCGUUCUAAAAAAAGACGGUCAGCAUGUGGCUGCCCGAGGCAUGUGGGAUGUUCUCAGACGUGGCACGAGUCAAGUUCUGUUUUCUGAUCUCACCGAGAAUGUGGACGAAAAAUCGGAGACCACACUCUUGGUGCAUUUCUUUGGGAAAAAAGGCAAAGCUGAGCUGAAAUUUGAGGAUUUUUACAAGUUCAUGGACAACCUGCAGACAGAGGUGCUUGAGAUAGAGUUCCUCUCCUACUCCAAAGGCAUGCCCACCAUCAGCGAGGAAGAUUUUGCUCAGAUCCUCCUUCGCUACACCAAUGUCGAGGAUGUUAGCGGGUAUUUGGAGAACAUGCGUCACAGUAUACCAGAUGAAAAGGGAAUCACCUUUGAGGAGUUUCGGUCCUUCUUCCAAUUCCUUAACAACCUGGAGGAUUUUACCAUCGCCAUGCAAAUGUACAACUUUGCCAACCGCUCAAUUGGCCAAGAGGAAUUUACCAGAGCGGUGUACGUGGCCACUGGCAUCAAACUGACCCCCCACUUGGUCAGCACUGUCUUCAGGAUCUUCGACGAGGACCACGACAAUAAGCUCAGCCACAGGGAGUUUGUUGGCGUCAUGAAAGACCGGCUGCACCACGGUGCUGGGGGCGUCCGAGUGGAGGAAAAGUUUGUCUCUUUCAAGUCCUGCAUGAAGAAGGAGCUUUCAGGCAAAUAGUAAAGGAAGGAAGAAAGUAAAGGAAGGAACAGUGGUGAACCGCUGACAGGGUCAUGGAUGGGCAAUGCUGACUGAUGCAAGUGGGGAGUGAAGGCUGGCCCGCAUGAUCCAAUCCAACAGGCGAGCUCAUGUAGCUCAAACUGCUGGAAACUUAAUGCUGUUUCUGACAGAAAGGUGUCAGAAUACACAGAGCAUCACAGUCUGCUGGGUAUGGAAACGCCUCUAUAGGAUGAAGCAGGUGCAGGUCCCAGCACCAGUGCAUGUCUUACAGUGUGGAUCAGCAGCCUCUCCUCUCUGCAACGACAGAAGGGUUAAUGCACACUGCAGCACAUUAUUUCUCUAUCUUAGAAGAUUUGAAAUAAACAGGAUGUGGCACGAAGAGGAUGUGGUCAGCCAAAUGGAAGAGGCGUUGUAAGCGGUCAAAUGAACACAGUGACCUGCUACUUAACACCCAGCGUUACAGGACUCUGCAAGUCUAACUAUAUGCUUUUGCUAUUUAUUGUUGCUGACUCUUAUUUAUUUAUUUAAAAAAGAAAAAUCAUGGUUGUCUUAUUAAUGCUUAAGUAUUUUAUUUUAUUUUUUGGUCACUCGUUCUUUCCUAAGCCUGAUAUGCCUCCAUACUUGGUCCUUUUGUGGUCUCUGCAGCCCCCCUGAACAGAUCAGCUUCUCCUCCUCCUCUCGCUCGCCCCCAAAGCUCUGCAGCUAAAACCCUCCAGGAUCCUCCAGAGAGGCAGCAGGCCCGAACACACUCACUGUGGCUUUCCCCCCGUUUGACUACAGGCAGCUAACAGUGUUAAUCAUUUCUUGGCUGGUGCAGAGAAGUGCUUUCACACCACUUGCAGGGAUGACCUCUGUAUAAACGUAUGCAAAAUGUUAAAGCCAUAUGUUUGUUUCACUCCUGAGCUUUAAUAUAAAUGGAGUUACAGAAACUAAAUGUACUUUUCCUAUAACUUCCACUUACUGUAACGAGUUCUUAAGCCAUGUCAUGCUUUGGGUAGAGCUGUGCUGAGGAAAAAAAGUUACAUGCUUUAAUAUUAACCAGACUAAUGUGUUUGCAUUUCACAAUACUCUGUUUAAAUGUUGGAAUAGCUGAGCUACUUCUUCACUUGAGAUCAGGCUUCGACUGUUACACGUCACCGGCGUGAUCACUGUUUUCAUGCCUGUAAGCGAAUAAACCACUCUCGGCCGAGCGUCCUCAACAA